UAUACUAAGAGCACAGGCUCUGAAGCCAGCCCACCAUGGUCCAGCUGGCUCAGUCACUCACCACGAAAAUUGUGCCUCAGUUUCCUCCUCUGUAAAUCUGGGGAAAUAAAAGCACCUACUUCAGAGGAUUGUUAUGAGAAUUCACAAGAUGAUCCAUAUAAAUCACACUGUGUCGUGCCUGGCUACCAGUUGGACCCUAACUGGCAUAAAGAUAAAUUCUCAGAAGUGGACUUGCUGUGCCACACACUUCAGGACUUUCAAACUGAAGGUGGAAGAGAUGGCUUCCUGCUGGCUUCUCUCCCUCAAGGCCUUCCUUCCACCUGUAGCUCUGUGUACGGUCAGGACCCCUUCCUUCUGCCACUCCAUCUGUUGACACAUCUCAGUCUCUGGGCAUCGGAUCAUCCCUCCUGUCGCAUUACAUUUUUUAAAUGAUAAACAAAGCAAAGAGGUGAGACAGAAGGCUGCCACUUCCUAUGGUAAUGGAGGUGUAGGCCUUCAGAAUAUGCCCAGGCAAGGGAAAGAGUAAGCAGCCAUCUGGGUAGCUCCUGAUGGGAGGGAGGGAGGAUUGGAAUAAAUUGUUAAUGUCUUCAAAUUGUGGGAGCUAGGUGGGGAGUUACUGAAUGAGAUCUCCUCUUCAUUUUCUGUCAGGGAGCGGGAGACAUCUGGUCAGCCAUGGCAGCCAUUUCACCAGGUUUUGAAUUUUGGCAGGACUAAAUCAAGGAACAAAGUGCCUUUAACCUAUCAUGGAACUGAUAGUCUUAGUGACUCCGACUCCAUGUGCUUGGGCGGGAAGGCUCCAGGCACUGUCUCCCCAGGCCUGGAGAUGGCUAUAAAUACUUCUGCUUCUUUCCCUUGUAUCAGACAGGACUCUGGCUAGAAACCAGGCUAUCAUCCACCUUGGGUAAAUGUCUGGCUUCAUGUUGUGAUUCAUCAAAUAAAAAAUUAUCAACUGUC